CGGCGGGUGUGGCGCGUGCGCACACACGCACACCGACACGCACUCCUCCCGGCUCCGCGUCACGUCACUCAAUCACGUGCAUCAAGCUUCUCAAUAUGACGGUGGCGUGCGCCUAGCGGUCCCCGUCGACCGACCGAUGUUCACGGAACAAUACAAUUUACUACUGGGGAUACGUGUUAUUUUUAAAACGUCCUCGAUAUAUUUUCAUUGUUGACAUAACAUUCAAGUAAAUUAGCCACGAUAAUAAUAUGUGUAGGUAUCUUAUCAAUAUAAGCUAAAAUAUCCGUAAGUAUAACGUUCGACGCCGGAAGCUCAGAUAGUAAGCACCUUCUCUUAGGACGCUACAGAUAGAGUAAGUCGUGACUCUGCAGCUGAAAUUAGGACAAGACCCGCUAUCCGGUGUGCCGCGGCCGCUCCAUAACGGUAUGUUCCGUGGUUGUUCCCGCCCGGAUUCGUCAAAGGCAAAUUGUGGAUCCGAGAAUGGAUAAGAUUUACAAUUAUUAUUAAUAUUUACACGCGAGCCCAGCUGCGGC